CACCGAAGAAGAAGAAUACGUUUUUUUUUUGCAGUACUAGUCCUCUAUCUAUCUCUAUGUCUCCUUCACUUCAAGCAGACAGUGGACAUUUUUGGUCUUAAGCGAAUUAAGUUGCGUACGACUUUUACAGUUUUGUGGUCUCCGGUGAAUUCGUGAAAGGGAAUGCCGAACGGUGAAAGGUCCGUUAGUGAAGCGCCUGGGAACGGCAACAUUAUGGCUCAACAGAAGCUUCUGGAAGGUUAUGUGGGCUUUGCCAAUCUCCCAAACCAAGUGUACAGAAAGUCUGUAAAGAGAGGCUUCGAGUUCACUCUCAUGGUCGUGGGUGAAUCUGGUUUGGGGAAGUCUACACUGAUCAAUUCCCUCUUCCUGACAGACUUGUAUUCUCCUGAAUACCCUGGUCCCUCCCACAGAAUCAAGAAGACUGUACAGGUGGAGCAGUCUAAGGUGCUGGUAAAGGAAGGAGGAGUUCAGCUUCUUCUCACCAUCGUUGACACGCCAGGGUUCGGAGAUGCUGUCGACAACAGUAACUGCUGGCAGCCAGUCAUUGAUCACAUCGACAGUAAGUUUGAGGAUUACCUCAACUCAGAGUCCCGGGUCAAUAGACGGCAGAUGCCUGACAACAGAGUGCACUGCUGCCUCUACUUCAUCACCCCCUCUGGACAUGGGUUGAAGCCUCUUGAUAUAGAGUUCAUGAAGCGGUUACAUGAAAAAGUGAACAUCAUCCCCCUCAUCGCCAAAGCGGACACAAUGACUCCUGAGGAGUGCCAACAGUUCAAGAAGCAGAUCAUGCGAGAAAUCACAGAGCACAAAAUCAAGAUCUACGAGUUCCCAGAAACUGACGAUGAGGAGGAGAACAAGAUGGUCAAGAAGAUCAAGGAUCGCUUACCCCUGGCUGUUGUUGGUAGCAACACCAUCAUCGUGGUCAACGAGAAGCGGGUGCGAGGGAGGCAGUACCCCUGGGGUGUGGCGGAAGUGGAGAAUGGAGAGCACUGUGACUUCACCAUCCUGAGGAACAUGCUCAUCAGAACCCACAUGCAGGACCUGAAGGACGUGACCAACAAUGUCCACUAUGAGAACUACCGCAGCAGGAAGCUGGCAGCUGUCACAUACAACGGAGUGGACAACAACAAGAACAAGGGACCAAUGACCAAAUUUGACACAAAUGAAGGCAUGAGUCCAUUGGCCCAGAUGGAGGAGGAGAGGAGGGAGCACGUGGCCAAGAUGAUGAAGAUGGAGAUGGAAAUGGAACAGGUGUUUGAGAUGAAGGUCAAGGAGAAGAUCCAGAAGCUCAAAGACUCUGAGCAAGAGGGUCUAUCUCACUGUCGCUCUGUAAAAGAGAAACAUACUCCUCACCUCCGUGUACCAGUCAACCAGAAGGUUCUGCUCCUAAUCAGACGGGUGCUGGCUGUGUUCAAGAAGAAUGGUCACAUGUCUGAGCUGGGAUGUCCAGUACUGCUCACACUGCCAGAGACCCGGGCUGUCUCCCUCAACCUCUGCUACCCAUGAUGCCAUCCAUGCUCCUGCGGCGCCACGAGCAGAUGAAGAAGAACCUGGAGGCCCAGCACAAGGAGCUGGAGGAGAAGAGACGCCAGCUGGAGGAUGAGAAGAACAACUGGGAGGCACAGCAGAGGGUGCUGGAGCAACAGAAACUAGACUCCUCCAGGACCUUGGAAAAGAACAAAAAAAAGAAGAUAUUUUAAAAGUAUUGCAGGAGGACCACCAUGUAACAAUGUACUAGUUGCCAAUUUCCCAACCUGGACUGUCAGUUUGCCUGUCGACCAACAACCUGUUACUGUGUGUAUGUGUGACGGAGCAGCGUGGUCUGUCUGGGGGAAGUUGGUUGUAACUGGGGGAUCGAGGGAGAGAGGGUCCUCCAUUAAACUCAAACUCAUUUUCAGACAGACUCAGUCCUGGAACAUGCUAUAUCACUAUACUAUUUCUCCUUUUAUCUCUGUCUCUUUUUUUAUUUAUAUAAAUAUAUUUUUGUUCCUGAAGUGGGCACAUUAAAUGGUUGUACAAUCAUGUUUUGUGGUUCAGUGUGACACACAGAAAAACAAAACACACCGGUAUCAGCUCUUUCAUGAUUUCAUGAUCUGUUUUUCAUUUUAAACUCCAGAAUGCCACAACUGUUUUUCUUUCACCUCCUUUUUCUCUUUCUAGUUACUGACCUUGGAGACAGACUGCACUGCUAUGUUGUAGUGUUCUAUUUAACGCCAAAUGACCAAACGGCAGAGUAGGAAGCUACUCACCUCAAGCUACACACCUCAGGCGUUUUGUUUUAUAACGUUUUUGUUAUUUAGUUGUCGCUUUUAUUUUUGUAAUCCUGAUCCCAAAAUGAUAUGCUCUUCCAUCUCUUGUAAUUUAAAUGAUCUAGCCAUGGACGGCAUGUUGGAACAUUUGAUUUAUUAUUAUUUUUUCUGUUUAAAAUUUUUGGUUCUCUUAUAUUGGCCCUGCUACAGUAAUCAUUUGUUCAUUAUUCGUUUCAUGUUUGUUUGCAGGCGUUUCCCAUUCUGGUCUUGGAGGUCUACUGUGCACACUGGAUUUCACUCCAGCUGACACAUAGUAGGCCCCCUUGACCACGGCUAGGAAACCCUGUUUUAGAAGACGGUGGGGAGGAAUGCUUGGUUGUUGACUCAACCCGUUAACACAACCCUAUUGUUGUUAUUGUUGUUUACUUACAAUUUCCAAUGUCUGUAAAUAAACAAGUCUAUAUUGACUGUAAUAAACAACUGUGGGGUUCCCUUCCCAAACAUGACAUUUAACACUGUUCACGUACUGCAUCUAUUUUUUAUUUGUCUUUUGUUUUGUUUUUAUAGUAUCGUAAUAAACUUGUGAUGAUACAA